AAAUGGUCCAUCUUGGUGCAGAGUCUCUAGUUUCAGUUCUUGAAUACUUCUGACAGCAGAUGUCAGAUGCCAAUGCCAGGUUAGUCUGGCAUUCUGUCGCAGGG